GACAGAGGUGCCAAGCGUUAGGCGGAAUCACUGGGCGUAAAGCGCACGUAGGCGGACUCUUAAGUCGGUGGUGAAAUCCUGGAGCUCAACUCCAGAACUGCCUUCGAUACUGGGAGUCUCGAGUCCGGGAGAGGUGAGUGGAACUGCGAGUGUAGAGGUGAAAUUCGUAGAUAUUCGCAAGAACACCAGUGGCGAAGGCGGCUCACUGGCCCGGUACUGACGCUGAGGCGCGAAAGCGUGGGGAGCAAACAGG
rnacentral:rRNA from 1 species